GAUGAACGCUGGCGGCGUGCCUAAUACAUGCAAGUCGAGCGAACGGACGAGAAGCUUGCUUCUCUGAUGUUAGCGGCGGACGGGUGAGUAACACGUGGAUAACCUACCUAUAAGACUGGGAUAACUUCGGGAAACCGGAGCUAAUACCGGAUGAUAUUUUGAACCGCAUGGUUCAAAAGUGAAAGACGGUCUUGCUGUCACUUAUAGAUGGAUCCGCGCUGCAUUAGCUAGUUGGUAAGGUAACGGCUUACCAAGGCAACGAUGCAUAGCCGACCUGAGAGGGUGAUCGGCCACACUGGAACUGAGACACGGUCCAGACUCCUACGGGAGGCAGCAGUAGGGAAUCUUCCGCAAUGGGCGAAGGCCUGACGGAGCAACGCCGCGUGAGGGAUGAAGGUCUUCGGAUCGUAAAACCCUGUUAUUAGGGAAGAACAUAUGUGUAAGUAACUGUGCACAUCUUGACGGUACCUAAUCAGAAAGCCACGGCUAACUACGUG
rnacentral:rRNA from 1 species